AUUGAACGCUGGCGGCAGGCCUAACACAUGCAAGUCGAGCGAGCGGCGGACGGGUGAGUAAUGUCUGGGAAUCUGCCUGAUGGAGGGGGAUAACUACUGGAAACGGUGGCUAAUACCGCAUACCAUCGGAUGUGCCCAUAUGGGAUUAGCUAGUAGGUGGGGUAAAGGCUCACCUAGGCGACGAUCCCUAGCUGGUCUGAGAGGAUGACCAGCAACACGGGAACUGAGAAACGGCCCAGACUCCUACGUGAGGCAGCAGUGGGGAAUAUUGCACAAUGGGCGCAAGCCUGAUGCAGCCAUGCCGCGUGUAUGAAGAAGGCCUUCGGGUUGUAAAGUACUUUCAGCGGGGAGGCGUUACCCGCAGAAGAAGCACCGGCUAACUCCGUGCCAGCCGCCGCGGUAAUUC
rnacentral:rRNA from 1 species